AUAUCUCAACCAUACCUCUCCACUAAAAAAAGUAAGGCAAGGAGGCUCCUCUUAAAGCCACUCCUCCAUUGGUUGAGAGCAAACACAAACCACCAGAAUGGCAUUAGUAGUGGCAAGUGGCACAGAAGAGUCAACAGGGUCAGAUAUGAAGUAACAUCAUACUCAUUUUGAUGUUUGUUCUUUAAGUCACUAGCCAUCCACAUCCAAGUUCCAGGCCAGACCAGACCACAGGCCAGACCAGAUUACAGGCCAGACCAGACCAGCAUCUGAAAGGAAUUAACUUAAAUAGACAUGUGAGUUGGAGGCCAAGAGUGGAGGACCAACCUACCACUUCAAGUCAAAUGGAAGAAAGUAACACUCUUGGAAACCUCAAAGUUGUCCUCAACUGGGGACAGAAUGUUAAGCAAACCAUGUGGUGUGUGUUCGAGAAGGUCUUCACACCGGAUUUGGCAACCCA